rfam:Zea mays cultivar B73 chromosome 1, whole genome shotgun sequence.
AUAUCUUUCUCGACCUUUUGGCUAAGAUCAAGUGUAGUAUAUGUUCUUAUCAGUUUAAUAUAUGAUAUGUAGGCCAUGUGUCUACUUCAAUAUUAAAUUAUUUUGUUGUGGGGAAGGUUCCACUACAGUGGCUUGCCAUUGAGGCCUUUAUGUGUCGCUCGGGCGUUGCACUAUUGCUUCAGCCUGGCGCACCCUAA